CCUACGGGUGGCAGCAGUGAGGAAUAUUGGUCAAUGGACGAGAGUCUGAACCAGCCAAGUAGCGUGAAGGAUGACUGCCCUAUGGGUUGUAAACUUCUUUUAUAAAGGAAUAAAACGAGGCACGUGUGCCUUGUUGCAUGUAAUUUAUGAAUAAGGAUCGGCUAACUCCGGGCCAGCAGCCGCGGUAAUACGGAGGAUGCGAGCGUUAUCCGGAUUUAUUGGGUUUAAAGGGUUCGUAGGCGGGCUUUUAAGUCAGCGGUAAAAAUUCGGGGCUCAACCCCGUCCGGUCGUUGAAACUGGGGGCGUUGAGUGGGCGAGAAGAAGGCGGAAUGAGUGGUGUAGCGGUGAAAUGCAUAGAUAUCACGCAGAACCCCGAUUGCGAAGGCAGCCUUCCGGCGCCCUACUGACGCUGAGGCACGAAAGUGCGGGGAUCGAACAGGAUUAGAUACCCUUGUAGUC
rnacentral:rRNA from 1 species